GGGGAAUAUUGCACAAUGGGGGAAACCCUGAUGCAGCGAUGCCGCGUGGAGGAAGAAGGUUUUCGGAUUGUAAACUCCUGUCUUCAGGGACGAUAAUGACGGUACCUGAGGAGGAAGCACCGGCUAACUACGUGCCAGCAGCCGCGGUAAUACGUAGGGUGCAAGCGUUGUCCGGAAUUACUGGGUGUAAAGGGAGUGUAGGCGGGAUAGCAAGUCAGAUGUGAAAACUAUGGGCUCAACCCAUAGACUGCAUUUGAAACUGCUGUUCUUGAGUGAAGUAGAGGUUGGCGGAAUUCCUAGUGUAGCGGUGAAAUGCGUAGAUAUUAGGAGGAACAUCAGUGGCGAAGGCGGCCAACUGGGCUUUUACUGACGCUGAGGCUCGAAAGCGUGGGGAGCAAAC
rnacentral:rRNA from 1 species